GUAGUCCACGCCCUAAACGAUGUCAACUAGUUGUUGGGGAUUCAUUUCCUUAGUAACGUAGCUAACGCGUGAAGUUGACCGCCUGGGGAGUACGGUCGCAAGAUUAAAACUCAAAGGAAUUGACGGGGACCCGCACAAGCGGUGGAUGAUGUGGAUUAAUUCGAUGCAACGCGAAAAACCUUACCUACCCUUGACAUGCCACUAACGAAGCAGAGAUGCAUUAGGUGCUCGAAAGAGAAAGUGGACACAGGUGCUGCAUGGCUGUCGUCAGCUCGUGUCGUGAGAUGUUGGGUUAAGUCCCGCAACGAGCGCAACCCUUGUCUCUAGUUGCUACGAAAGGGCACUCUAGA
rnacentral:rRNA from 1 species